AGGGCAUCUUGUUAAGAUGCUGCAGGUUUAGGGAGGGGCAGAGAGUGUGCCUUUCUAACAAGCUUCCAGGUGAUAUUGAGAUCUUGAUGCAGCUGGUUCUCAGACCGUGCUUUGAGAAGCGAGGCUACGCUUACCUGGCAGUUUGCUUUUCGGAGAUUUAUCCCGAGGGAACAUGGAUAAUAAAAGCUGUAUUGGGUCAAGAAGUUUUCAUCUAAGAAGGAGGAUUGUGCAAUAGAAAGAGGACUAACGAGGAGCAGGAAAACCAGGGCUGAAUUCCAAGUUAUGCAACAAGCUAACUGGGUGCAUUUGGAUAAGCUAUAGCCUCUCUGAGCUACAAGGAGGAGGUUAAGCUGUGUUGAACAUGUAUCCAGAGCACAAACAGAAACACCCAUUUGGAAAUGUCUGGAUUUGAUGAUGUCCAAGGUCUCUUCUUAACGCGGAUAUCCUGUGAUCUCAGUGACAAGCAUAAAGAGGGAAAGAGGAACAAGUCACAAGAGAGUCCCAAAAGUUACAGCUUCUGAGAAAGAAACCAGAGGUCUGAGGAAAGGAUCGUGCAAAGAUGCAAGUUCUCAGGGGUGGGGCUCCCAGGGACUUUAUCACUCAGCAAGCAGCUUGGCUAAUAGAAUGCAGGAUCAGAUAUCGAGCAGCAACUAUUCAGCUAUAGAUACCAGCUUCCUGUGUUUGGAAAAGGUGAAAGAACAGAGAGGAGGGAAUGACUUACAACAAAACCAACAUGUGGCUGCUGCUGCUGCUGAUCAUCUCUAACUGACCACUUUACUGUCAGUGCCAAGCAUUGUGCCAAGCGCUGGAUCAAUAUUAUCUCACUUAAUUGUCAUCCCAGUUCUGUGAGGUUUGUAAGAAUGAUCUACAAGAAGGAAACUUUUUAAAAGAUCAUUGAAUUCCGGGAUCCUUCUGUCUGGACUCAUUCUCUGAAUGAGUGUUUCUUAACAUUUCAGGAAAUCAGAAACUCCUCUCAGAGUUAGAAACCCUCUCCUCGGAAGAACGCACAUGGGAUAGAAACUUGCAUCUUCUCUCACAAGUUAAAUCUCACGUGAAUCCCAGGUGUCCAGGUCCAAGCCUUUCUCUCGGUACAACAGCAAUAACAAAACUGACAGGAAAGAGAGGAAGUUGCCCAUGUGAAUUCGUGAAAACCCGCCCAGUUUCAGCUUCAGGCUCCCACCAGCUGCUACUAUCCAACAUGACCUUUCAUUUUGGAGACUCUGAAAAUAUAUAAAGUUUCCAAGGGAACAACUUGAACAAAUUGUUUCUGAGAGUUCCUAUAAAAUAUGGCUGUAAGAACGAUCCCCAAGACUCUGCCCUGGUUGGCAAGCAAGCCUCAGAGUGCUUGGGUAAGGCUUGGGUGAAUAAUAAUGCCAGCAUCUGUUUGUUGAGCAUAUAAAAUGUGCCAGGCACUUGCUGAAGCACUCUAGCUUACGAGGGAGGUUCUGUUUACAUCUUUACUAUUCUCAGUGUCGUGGAAAGGGCCAUGCUUUGAAGUCAUACAGAACUGAGUUUAAUGCUAGGUCUGUUUAUGAGCAUAGCUGUCCUUGGGUAAGGCGCUUGUGCUCUCUGUCUGCUUCUUUACCUAUAAAAUGGAGCUGAUGGCAUCCCUCAAAUUUGGUUUGACAUUCAAACAGGAGAGUAUGUGCGAUAGACAGAAUAAUGCUCUCCCCUUCCAAAUAUGUCCAUGUCCUAAUCCCCAGAACCUGAAUAUGGUAGGUUAUACUGCAAGGGAAAAUUAAGAUUGCAGAUGAAGUUAACGCUGCUAAUCAGUUGACCUUGAGAUGGGAGAUUAUCCUGGAUUAUCUGCAUAGACCCAAGUAAUCACAAGGGUCCUUAUAAAUGGAAGAUGGAUACAGAAGAGUCAGCGUCAGACCCAUGUGAUGUGAGAAGACUGGACGAACAUUGCUGGCUUUGAAGAUGGAAGGGGGCCACAAGCCAAGGAAUGCGGGCAGCCUCUAAAACAUGGAAAGGGCAAAGAAACAGAUUCUCCCUCGAGCCUCCAGGAAGGAAUGCAUCCCUGCCAACACCCUAUUUCAGCCCAUUGAGGCCCAUUUUGUGUUUCUGACCCCUAGAACUAUCAGAAAAUAAAUUUGUAUUGUUUUGAACCACU
ensembl:lncRNA